CCUACGGGAUGCAGCAGUGGGGAAUAUUGCACAAUGGGGGAAACCCUGAUGCAGCGACGUCGCGUGAGUGAUGAAGUAUUUCGGUAUGUAAAGCUCUAUCAGCAGGGAAGAAAAUGACGGUACCUGACUAAGAAGCCCCGGCUAACUACGUGCCAGCAGCCGCGGUAAUACGUAGGUGCAAGCGUUAUCCGGAUUUACUGGGUGUAAAGGGAGCGUAGACGGCGGUGCAAGCCAGAUGUGAAAGCCCGGGGCUCAACCCCGGGACUGCCUUUGGAACUGUGCUGCUAGAGUGUCGGAGAGGCAGGCGGAAUUCCUAGUGUAGCGGUGAAAUGCGGAGAUAUUAGGAGGAACACCAGUGGCGAAGGCGGCCUGCUGGACGAUGACUGACGUUGAGGCUCGAAAGCGUGGGGAGCAAACAGGAUUAGAUACCCGGGUAGUC
rnacentral:rRNA from 1 species